rnacentral:rRNA from 1 species
AACAGGAUUAGAUACCCUGGUAGUCCACGCCGUAAACGAUGUCGACUUGGAGGCUGUUCCCUUGAGGAGUGGCUUCCGGAGCUAACGCGUUAAGUCGACCGCCUGGGGAGUACGGCCGCAAGGUUAAAACUCAAAUGAAUUAACGGGGGCCCGCACAAGCGGUGGAGCAUGUGGUUUAAUUCGAUGCAACGCGAAGAACCUUACCUACUCUUGACAUCCACGGAACUUAGCAGAGAUGCUUUGGUGCCUUCGGGAACCGUGAGACAGGUGCUGCAUGGCUGUCGUCAGCUCGUGUUGUGAAAUGUUGGGUUAAGUCCCGCAACGAGCGCAACCCUUAUCCUUUGUUGCCAGCGAUUCGGUCGGGAACUCAAAGGAGACUGCCAGUGAUAAACUGGAGGAAGGUGGGGAUGACGUCAAGUCAUCAUGGCCCUUACGAGUAGGGCUACACACGUGCUACAAUGGCGCAUACAAAGAGAAGCGACCUCGCGAGAGCAAGCGGACCUCAUAAAGUGCGUCGUAGUCCGGAUUGGAGUCUGCAACUCGACUCCAUGAAGUCGGAAUCGCUAGUAAUCGUAGAUCAGAAUGCUACGGUGAAUACGUUCCCGGGCCUUGUACACACCGCCCGUCACACCAUGGGAGUGGGUUGCAAAAGAAGUAGGUAGCUUAACCUUCGGGAGGGCGCUUACCACUUUGUGAUUCAUGACUGGGGUGAAGUCGUAACAAGGUAACCGUAGGGGAACCUGCGGCUGGAUCACCUCCUU